AUGCCGGCUCAGGGCAGAGCCCCUUUUCUGUCUGGACCCUGCCCCAAGGACUCAGCCCCCUGCAUGCCACAGCCCAAAGUAUGCACAAGCCAAAUGCCCCUGAGGAUGGGAGGUGAGAGGACCGGGGUACGGCAACAAUCUCUCUCUUUCCCAGCUCCAGAGACACAAGAUCAAGUGCUGCUUUCUAUCAGCUGGAGUCACUGCCCUGCUUGUCAUCAUCAUCAUCACCACCUCUGUCCGAAAAUGAUGCCACCUUUGCUCACUGCCCAGGAGCUCACAAGCAAGUCAACAGCUACCAAAGACCAAUGUGGAAUACAGGCUUGGGGCAUCCUCAGCCAUGACACGCAUUAAGGCAAGCUCCGGGUCCCAGCCCAGGUCUCUGUUUUGGAGACUCCCCUUUCCCACCAGCCACCCUGCCCAGGCCUGUGCUGCUGUUUGCAGAAGGCUCUCCAGGCCCUAUUGCUUGGUGAGGAGAUCUCUUGAUGUAGAUGAAAGGUCUGGGCUGAGCUCAGCAUGACAGGGACAGAGACCCUGCACACAAAGAUGAGGAGCGUGCUUUGGUAAUGGUGUGUCCCCCAGGACUGCACUGACAGCUCUAAGAGGAUGGCACAGCCCCACGUGGGGUCUUCAGAAAGCCCUGCCUGGGCUCCCUCAGCUGCAAGGCGGGGCUGGUGCCAGGGGCGGACUGGAUGUGGCAUUGUUCAGGUUUCUUGGAUGUGCCUGUUGCAGAGAUAAGCUGGUGGAACCUUGUAGAAGGGAGGGAACCACUGGCCAGGAGCACAGCAUUCAGCCGGAGGUGGCACAGCGAGCAGGUGGCAGGUCAGGUUUUUAGCAUGGGUCUGGUGGCCUGAGGCUUGGUGGUGGCACUGCCCGCCAGCUGGGGCGCCGCGCUAGGGUCUGUUUGCCUUCUGGUGGCCAGGACAGUUCAGCACAUGCGGUCUUUGGAGCGUGACUAUGGUGGUGCCUUUCAGUCAGAAGCCUGGGAGGUAACUUACAUGCCCCUCUGUGCUGGGCAGAUCAGAAGCCCGAGGGUGCCUGGCUCCCUAGUUCCAGGUCUGGAUUCAGGGCCCCUCUCUGCCCUCACCUGGAAGCCACCUGGGCCUGACCCUGUGCUUGGGGUGUAAGAGGCUCCCUGAGGUCUCCUGUGACUCCCCAGAGGUUUCCCCAUCAAGGUCUCUCCCCUGGGACCCAGACCCAGCCUCCCAGAGCUCCAGGCCUGGGGCAGAUGGGGUUUGCCCUGAGUACCACCUCUGAGGGCAGAGUCUGGCAAGUGGGCAGCGGAGGGUGCUGUGGAGCAGAGGCCUCCUCAUCUCGGGGCCUGAGCAUGGAGCUUCCCCUCUCUGAGCUAGUUUCUGCAUCUGUGAAAUGGGGCGUGUGUGCUACCCUGCAGACCACUGACCAUGAGGGAUGAGGGCCUGCACCCGCCCGGCGCCUAGCCUCACUUAGCCACAGCAACGGAGCUCACGGCCCGUCUCUGCUAUCCUUGUGGGCUGCGUUACUCUUUCCACUGUUACCCUUCAGGUGCUCGGCUCUGUGGACCUGAGACCUAAGGCGGGACACAGCGGCGGUUUCUUUCCAGUGCUUUCACCUGAUGGCUCUGUGGCCAGCAGGACACCUGGGGCAGAGUGGCUGGCCCCAGUGGACCCGUGACCCCACCUCUCCCCUCUGUCUCUCCACGGCCUCCUGCUGUUCCUAGCAGGCAUGUGACUCUCAGCUCUGGGCUGGCGCCCAUCCACAGUCAGCCAGAGCAGACACACAGCCCGAGGGUUGUCCUGGGCAGUGGGCCCUUGGGGUGAAGGAGGCUGAGAGGCCGGGAGCCAAAAGGGCGGCUGAGGCCUGGAGGGGCUGGGGGAAGGGCACAGCUGUUCUUGUAGGCGGGGCUCAGGGUCAGCUCCGGGCCCCUGGUCCUGCAUCCCCAUCCCCCCAGGAAGUGGACAGGCAGGACGUGGGCGAGGGGAGGGGCCCUGGGGCUUAACUGUGUCAGCUUUGACCUUCCCAGUAGCAGCGCCAUGUGUUGGCCAGAAGACCCCGGCCCUGUGGCCCAUGCUUUUGAGUCCCCACCUGGCCAGGUCCACCUGGGUGCGCAGGGACAAGUCACUGCAUUUCCUGGAGCCUUGGUGUCAGAAUCUGUAAAGUGAGACAGCCUCUCCCCGAGGGCAAGGCGGUGCGGUGGCUAUGAGGACCCCAGGAUUAGAGGUUGGGCCUGGAGUGGUAGCGAAAGCAUGUCCCCGCCCCCACCCCAGUCCCCGCCCCCGCCCCGCCCCCAUCCUCUCCUGCUCCCUCAGCUCCUGACCCCAUCAUCCUUCUCUCCCAGCCUUCCUCCUCCUUCUUCAUUUCCCUCCUUUUCCUCCUGCUUGUCUGGGCAGUGGACCCCAGCAUGAUACGGAAGGAAGAAAUGGGGGUGCUGCCUUCAGGGGCCCCCUCUGAGCAGAUACAGGGAUUCUGGCUCCACCCCAGGGAAUCCCCGCCCAGGAGGUGGCACUCAGGAAAGAGGAAGCAUUUUCAGUGAGUCCUGACAGGGAAAAGAGGUUUUGUUCCCUAAGUGCAGCAAGAGAGACUUCAGUGGGACACAAGGAAGACUCCCCAGGGCAGAGGCAGCAAAGCACGUUCUGAAAUUGGGAUGUGCUUGGCAAGACUCCCUCCUCCUUGAUGGUCUCCUCCGCUCAUAGCAAGGAGUUUUGCUUCCGGUGCUUCUCAGUAAUUGCAAUAAUAAAUUGAAUAAUUAAGUUAAACCCA
rnacentral:lncRNA from 13 species